GUGAAAAAGUGUGGUCUAAUUGACUUAGGAUAUAGUGGCCCUGCUUAUACUUGGACAAACAAGAGGUAUGCUUCAAAUCCGACCAUGGAAAGACUUGAUAGAUGUCUGGUUAACACUGAAUGGUGUACGAUAUUUCCCAACUCUAAUGUUUACAAUCUGCCUAUCAUCCUUAGUGAUCAUGCUCCUAUCCUACUCUCUACUAAUGCCCAUAUGCGCAAACCUAGAAGAAAUUUUAAAUUUGAAAAU
rnacentral:rRNA from 1 species